UACGUAGGCAGCGAGCGUUGUUCGGAGUUACUGGGCGUAAAGGGCGCGUAGGCGGAUAGUUUAGUCAGAGGUAAAAGCCCAGGGCUCAACCUUGGAACUGCCUUUGAUACUGGCUAUCUUGAGUACGGGAGAGGUGUGUGGAACUCCGAGUGUAGAGGUGAAAUUCGUAGAUAUUCGGAAGAACACCAGUGGCGAAGGCGACACACUGGCCCGUUACUGACGCUGAGGCGCGAAAGCGUGGGGAGCAAACAGG
rnacentral:rRNA from 1 species